CCUACGGGCGGCAGCAGUGGGGGAUAUUGCACAAUGGGGGAAACCCUGAUGCAGCGACGCCGCGUGGGUGAAGAAGCGCCUCGGCGCGUAAAGCCCUGUCAGCAGGGAAGAAAAUGACGGUACCUGAAGAAGAAGCCCCGGCUAACUACGUGCCAGCAGCCGCGGUAAUACGUAGGGGGCAAGCGUUAUCCGGAUUUACUGGGUGUAAAGGGGGCGCAGACGGCGAUGCAAGCCAGGAGUGAAAGCCCGGGGCCCAACCCCGGGACUGCUCUGGGACCUGCGUGGCGUGAGUGAAGUAGAGGCAGGCGGAAGUCCUAGUGUAGCGGUGAAAUGCGUAGAUAUGAGGAGGAACACCAGUGGCGAAGGCGGCCUGCUGGGCUUUUACUGACGCUGAGGCUCGAAAGUGUGGGGAGCAAACAGGAUUAGAUACCCGUGUAGUC
rnacentral:rRNA from 1 species